UACAGAGGGGGCAAGCGUUGUUCGGAAUUACUGGGCGUAAAGCGUGCGCAGGCGGCUUUGCAAGACAGAUGUGAAAUCCCCGGGCUCAACCUGGGAACUGCAUUUGUGACUGCAUGGCUGGAGUGCGGCAGAGGGGGAUGGAAUUCCGCGUGUAGCAGUGAAAUGCGUAGAUAUGCGGAGGAACACCGAUGGCGAAGGCAAUCCCCUGGGCCUGCACUGACGCUCAUGCACGAAAGCGUGGGGAGCAAACAGG
rnacentral:rRNA from 1 species